GACUACAGGGGUAUCUAAUCCUGUUUGCUCCCCACGCUUUCGUGCAUGAGCGUCAGUGUUAUCCCAGGGGGCUGCCUUCGCCAUCGGUAUUCCUCCACAUAUCUACGCAUUUCACUGCUACACGUGGAAUUCUACCCCCCUCUGACACACUCUAGCCAUGCAGUCUCAAAUGCCAUUCCCAGGUUGAGCCCGGGGAUUUCACAUCUGACUUACAUAACCGCCUGCGCACGCUUUACGCCCAGUAAUUCCGAUUAACGCUUGCACCCUACGUAUUACCGCGGCUGCUGGCACGUAGUUAGCCGGUGCUUAUUCUUCAGGUACCGUCAUUAGCAAAGGGUAUUGGCCUCCACCGUUUCUUCCCUGACAAAAGAGCUUUACAACCCGAAGGCCUUCUUCACUCACGCGGCAUUGCUGGAUCAGGGUUGCCCCCAUUGUCCAAAAUUCCCCACUGCAGCCUCCCGUAGG
rnacentral:rRNA from 1 species